GGAAAGUCUCCUAUUGUAUGCAUAUGUUGGGAUGCACCAAGUGAUACUUGUGUUAGACAAUUACCAAAAGUAUACCCAGCCGUUAAUGACUUGCAUGGUAAUAUUUACUGUUAUUUUCUUCAGACGCUAUAUCAGGUCUUUUUGAUUGUUGGGAAUUAUUCUUGACAAAUUGUGGGUAGUAAAUUGUAAUAUACAUGUAGAUGUACAUAUUCCAGCCAACAUGACACAUUUUAUAUAAAAUUAAUAAUAUUAAUAUUAAACAAUCCACAGCCAAAUAAUGUACAUUAUGCACUUCUAAACACUGUCCCUCUUUUCUUUAUUUGUACACAGGGUGGGAAAUACAAUUACGCUCAAAUUUGCGUUUGUAAAUUAUGGUCAAACUGAUAGGGCUGGUAAACCUGCUGUGUACAAAUUCAGUACAGUUAUUUCUGGUACUGGUACGUUAUUUGCCUAGUCUCUUUGAAUCAAGAUAAGGUACAGCAUUGGUAAUAAUGGCUUAACAGCUGCUACUAGUGUGCUUACUGUCUUUGAAUCAAGAUAAGGUACAGCAUUGGUAAUGUUGGCUUAACAGCUGCUACUAAUGUGCUUACUGUCUUUGAAUCAAGAUAAGGUACAGCAUUGGUAAUGUUAGCAAAACUGCUGCUAUUGGCAUAUGCUUACUGUCUUUGAAUCAAGAUAAGAUGCAGAAAUGGUAAUGUUUGCUUAACAGCUGCUACUGGUGUACUUACUGUCUUUGAAUCAAGAUAAGGUACGGCAAUGGUAAUGUUAGCAAAACUGCUGCUAUUGGCAUAUGCUUACUGUCUUUGAAUCAAGAUAAGAUGCAGCAAUUGUAAUGUUUGCUUAACAGCUGCUACUGGUGUGCUUACUGUCUUUGAAUCAAGAUAAGGUGCGGCAAUGGUAAUGUUUGCUUAACAGCUGCUAGUGGUGUGCUUACUGUCUUUGAAUCAAGAUAAGGUACAGCAUUGGUAAUGUUGGCUUAACAGCUGCUACUAGUGUGCUUACUGUCUUUGAAUCAAGAUAAGGUACAUCGUUGGUAAUGUUGGCUUAACAGCUGCUAUUUGUGUGCUCACUGUCUUUUAAUCAAGAUGAGGUACAGCGUUGGUAAUGUUGGCUGAACACUACAGCUGCUACUGGUAUGCUUACUGUCUUUGAAUCAAGAUAAGUUACAGCAUUGGUAAUGUUGGCAAAACUACUGUUGUGUUGUGGGUGCCCAUUGUAUUAAAUUACAAAUAAUUUAUUCAAAAUGUUGAGGCGUUUUAUAAGGUUUAGAAUGCCCAAAUUCAAAUUUAAUUUUUGUAAUGAUUUAAUGAAUUAAACAUCCGUGAAUUUUC